UUUUGAGAUGGAGUCCCGCUCUGUCACCCAGGCUGGAGUGCAGUCGCAUGAGCUCGGCUCACCGCAACCUCCGCCACCCGGGUUUAAGUGAUUCUCCCCACUCAGCCUCCCAAGUAGCUGGGAUUACAGGCAUGCACCAUCACAACUGGCUCAUUUUUGCAUUUUUAGUAGACAUGUGGUUUCACCACGUUGGCCAGAUUGGUCUCAAACUUCCGACUUCAAGUGAUCCGCGCCCCCUCAGCCUCCCAAAGUGAAUGGUAAAUAACAAUGAAUCUAAUCCUAGAGCAGGGAGGCAGCACAGUAAGAGGAAGACUUGGAUUUAGUGAUUGAUGACUUCCUUUUUCCUCAAAAUAAGCAGAUUUCUUUCCAGUAGAGAUCUGAGUCAUUCAGUUUCAAAGGCCGCGAUUAAGUCAGUAAACUAUAUGGAUAUAUUUUUCUAAAAUGUUCUCAAUUCAUGAAAGAUGAGCUAUAUCUUUAUAUUAUGACCACAGAUAAAAUGCUUAUAUGAUUUUUGUAAACAUAUAACCUGCUUAAUUAUUCUGGGAAGGCAGCUGAACUACUAGAUCAUCAGGCUAUAAUGCCAAGGUUAGGGUGCUAGGUUUUAGUACCAGCUUGGUAACUUACCUUCAGCAAACUUUUACAAACUUUGAUUUUUUAAAAAAUGACUAAGGUGUUUAAGUUGUGUGAAACUUGGAUAGUGACAAGAAAGGUGGUUCAGCUUGUAAAAUUCCUACCAAACCCUGAUAGACACUGUGAGACACAAGAACAAUUUUUCAAAGGGCAUAACAUAUACAAAGUUAACAAUUGCCUGCAUUUAUAUUGUGCCUUUCAUAUUUAUUACCUCAGCUUCCCCCCCCCGACACACACACAUACACACACAAUCUAUAUUUUACACUGGAGGAAAUAGCUCAAACUAAAUAACUUGCUCAAGGUCACCAAACUAAUCUAGGUAUCUCAGACUCAAAGACAAGUCUUUUGACUCUCACCUUAUGUGCCUUUUAUUUUAUUCUAUGCUGCAUUCUAACAAUAAUCACAUGAGGACCAAACAAAUACAUCCUUUCACAAAGCCACGCAAGGGGCUUAAACUACUGAGUGAUUUAAUCCGUUUUUUGUUUCAGGAAGAUCAUUUUGGUCGCUGUGUGAAAAUAGAUUGGAACAGGAUAAGAGUAAACACAAGAACAGACAGGAGGCUGUUGCAGUAACCCAUGUGAAAGGUGAUGAUGGCCUAUGUUAGGGUUAACAUGUUCAAGUAUCUCAGUUUCUCCAGAACAAGUAUGUCUCCUAUCUCAGUAUAAAUAUUAUCAUA
rnacentral:lncRNA from 10 species